ensembl:lncRNA
AAUUGCAAUUCCAUAUUCAGUAUAUUUUAUUAUUCUAAUCGCAUGUCUUGUUCAGCAGUUGUCCUUUCUCUAGCAUUGCUCACGUGUAUUUUUUUUUUUUUUUUAAUUUUCAGGAAGGUAGGGGCUUUGGGACCCAAUGGAAAGCAGAAGACGCAGUGAUCUGCCGUUUAAAUCCCUGUCUCUGAAUCUACACCCUCAGGGAAUUUCAUGAGAGAGGAAAGGCUGAGGUCAGAAUUCUUUUAUGAGAAGACUUCUUCAGUGAUGAGAGAAGUCUCCAGACUCAGGUGGGAAUCCUUAAAGGAUGAAAUCCUCCAAUAUGAAGCAGCUUUCCUCAGCAGACAAAAGUACAACGAAGGACAAAGAAAUUUAUUUGGAAAAACUCAAGACAGAACACUCAAGGAAAAAAAAAUGUUCAAUUGCUCCUGUCCCAAGCAGUUGCAAGAUACACCAUCUGUAUUUAAAAUCACCUGUGAAGAUAAUGGCCUCACUCUGCUCAGCUACAGAGCCUUGUGCCAGGAUGCUCCUCCUUCAAGAAGAUCUUCCAUACUCUUUGGGCUCUGACCACCCACACCAGAUGUGUGUCAACCAUCUCUACAGAAAAAAAAGAAAGAAAGAAAAUGACAGGGUGAUUCAGCAGUUUCAUUCCCAACCUCCAGGAUGUCUCUACUUUUUCAUUCCUCCGCCCUUGUCAUCCCAACUCCAGAAACUCCAGUGGAGACUAGCAGCUCGGUUUUAUAAUAAUGCAUCCAAGUAUGACACAGAUUUCUAA